GCAUCACAUCAUCGUUCCCAAUUGUUAGAAUGAAAAUUCUAAAAAAUGUGCAAAACUCCAUCAUCGUAACAAACAAAAAAAUUGUCUUUCAAAAUAUUUGUGCCAAAUUGGGUUUUGGGGACAUGUUUACACAAUUAGGGUUUUUUAUUUUUCUUGCAGAGGAUUGAAUGUUCUUGAAUUAUCAAGAAUGAAAAAAUUAGUACAUGUAUCAACACAUGUUUCCUCAAUUAGGGUUUAUUUUUCUCUAGCAGAAAAUUGAAUGUUGAGAAAACUUACCGCAGCAAAAGGUGUGUCUUUCAGUUUCUUGAUGAAAACUUUGAUGUUGCAGAUGAUUGAAACCCAACAUUGAUUUAUAAAAGGUUUCGAUCAAGAAACGCCAAUCGGUGUUUCUUACUUUUCUUGAAGAACAAAGAAGCGCACACACGCAAUGAAACAAAACCAACAUUUCUUUUUUUGCGUAAUCUAUGUGCCGCGUGCGUGAUCUAUCGAGUAAACGGUCAUUUUCGUCCCCGAAAAUGUCACUCGCUGUCAUAAUAGUCCUUGAAUCAUCAAAAAGUAUUUUAAGCUUCCUGAAGGUAACUUCCGUUAGUCAAAAUCGUCCAUGACGUUAUCUUUCUGUUUGUUUGUGAUGAUGUGUCCCAAAAUUUAACACAUUAGAUCUAUGUGUGGCAACUUUUUAUUCAAAUUUCUCAGCCAACUAGACAGGGAUUAAAUUGACGGAGAGAAUCAAAAUUUCUAAAUAAAAAGAAAAACAAUAAAUCAGACAAAAAUCUAAAAAUUCUUCCAAAACUCAACCUUAUCUCCAACCACUCCUACCCAGAAUUCAUCUCUUUGUAUUAUAUAUAUAUAAAAAAAAAAAUCAUCUUCUUGCCCAACACAAAACCAAACUCAUAAGUCAUAACCAUAUUUUUCCAUUUUUCACUACUUUUGCCACUAGAACAAAAUCAAGUCUUUUAUACCCUAUCAAUUUAAUUUCAGU
rnacentral:lncRNA from 1 species